rnacentral:lncRNA from 1 species
UAAUAAAUUCUUGUGAGCUUGGAUUGCAUUGAUUUUUUUUUUUUUAAGGAGGAAAGUGCCAAGGAUGUCUUUAACGUGGGUCUUAAAAGGGCCUGGUGCUAUUACUAUGCUUGUGAUACUCACAGUGACUAGGCUCUUCUUUGUUAUUAGUGAAGGGGUGUGUGUGUGUGUGUAUGCGCGUGCACGCGCACGCUUCCCUUUCAGCAGGUUGCCAUGCCACAAGACUGCAUCUUUGAGUUUCCAUUCUCACGACUGCUUUUCUCUUCAGAGGUUGGAUUGUCCUCUUCUCUCUUGCUGGUUCUCUUCUUUUCUGCCACAGAUGCUUGGAUGCCAGCCUGACUUUGUUACAGUCCUGUAAACAAAAAAAAAAGCCGUGGCAUUGCCCUAUCUUGAAUUCCCCCAAAUCCCUAUUGGAAACUGUGAUUCAAUUUUUUUCCUUUUAAAUUUUAAUUAUUUUUAAUGUACACAUAGAAAUUGUUGAUAUUUAUACCUUGUGUGUGUUUAGUGGAAUGGCUGCAAGUUAAUGAGUCUAUUAGCUCACGUUUGUGUGUGGGGAGGACAUUUAAAAUUCUAAGGGAUUUUCAUGUAUACAACGCAUUAUAAUGAACUGAAGCCGCCAUAUUGGUGCAAGAGAUUUCUUGCUGGCGAUCGUGCUCCUGUCUCGCCCCCUACACACACAACCUGUCUCUGGAUUUGUUUCUAAUAGACUCUUGUUGUGUAGCCCAGGCAGGCCUAGAACUCAAAUCAUCUUGCCUCUCAGUGCCUUGAGUCGUGAGAUUGCAAGCACAGACAGCAUUUGGAGCCUUUAACCAGUAUCUUCCUUGCCUCCUCUCUCUAUCUCUCUGUCUUGCUCUGCUUCUAUGACUGUCAUGAUUUUGGAUUCCUUGUGCACGUGAGAUCGUGUGAUCCGUCUCUUUCUGAGCCUGGCUUAUGUCACUUAGCGUAAGGUUCUCCAGGUUUGUCUGUCACAUUGUCACAUAAUUCCAGACAUGAUGAUCUGGGCCCACAGUCCUAGCACCUGGGAGGUGAAGGCAGGAGGACCAGGUGUUUAAAGCCAGUCCCAGCUACAUAGAGCAUUUGAGACCAGCUUGACCUUUAUGAGACUCUAUCAUAAUGAAAGCAAACAAAAAAGGGAGGUGGGAGGCAAAAUAUUCAUGGGGAAAUAUUUGGAAAAAAAUAUUUUUACAGCUAUUAAUUUCCGGAUUACUAUUUAGUUGAGCCUAUCCCCUGGUGUUAUAACUGUAUCUUAAUUUUUUAAACUGAAAACAGAAAUACAGUGGAAGCCCACAGUGAGGCCUGGCAGGGGGAGGAGUGUCCUUACUACAGCUCCGUGCAGUCUUGCUUUAUGUUUCGGCAGAGGCUGCCAGCAUCAGAAUGUCAACUAUGCACACAGAGAAACAUAAAUUAACUGACUUUGGAAGGGAACACACUGGACCUCAGAUCUCACUUUUUUUUUUUUGAACCCUGACCUUUAGAAGAAAAAGACAAUUUUUAAAUUAAAACAAAACAAAACAAAACACUGUCUGAGUUAGUCCAAUAAGCAGCUCUCCAGCUGUAGCUUACAGGAAUUAGGCUUGUGUUUUACAUAUGAAAAACAUGUCCUUUAGUUGGAAAAAUGAAUUUUUGGCUUUGGCGUUUACAUUGUGUUGUUUGAAACAAGGUCUCUCUGUGUUACUCAGGCUUGCCUGGAACACCUAGGGUUAAUAGCUGCUCAGACUCUUGAGUGCUGGGGCCGUAGGUGCACACCUGGCCCAGAUCUUUUAAAAUGUAAUCUUGAUGUAGUAACCCAAACCUCCCAUUUCCUUAGCUUCCUUGUGGGUCAUCGUUCAACUGUGCACUGAUCAGUGUGGUGUUUUUUCUGGACACUUGGACUUGGAGUGAUCCCCCUUGGGGCAUUGCUAACUCCCCGUGGAGAUAAUAUGCCACCAUGCCAGCAUUUGCUUUAAUGAAAAUGCAGUGAUUUAGUCGGGGGGGGGGCUUGCAUCAUGGGUACCUAAAUGUUUACCAGUAUUAAGCUAGUGUGGUGACCUGUCUCAUCUCAUCUUAAAAAUUCUGCUUGAUGGAUGGAAGAAGAGUCAGGCCAGAAAGGGAAGGCUGAGGUCACCAGCAGAGUCUGUACUCUGUACCGGUUGGGCCCCUUCUCUCCACUGUCAGCCUGGCCGGGGGUGAAGCUGCUGGCCCAGAGAUGAAAGCGGACAUGUGCCAGUGAAUAAGCAAGUGUCUGAGGAAUCCAAGGCCAAAGGAAGCAAAAUACUCCAUUGUUCCCCGCAUCUCCCCCUUGGCGCCUCCCCCAUACCCCCCUCCUCUGCCCACUCUCCUAGGCCAGCUCACAAGUGUCUGUGGGGGCUGGUGGACUCCCCAUCAUGGGCUUCCUCCCAGGAAAUUUCCUGUGGUGGAAACUCUGGGGAAACUUCCUGUUGGGUAGGUUCCUGCCUGCGACUGAUAAGGGGAACUGCUUAAAACCCCCGCCAGCCACAGCUGCUGUUAAAGGGUGGCAUGGUCUUUCUGUUUCCUCAGUCUGAAGGAACAAGAAAGGGCAAGUAAGCAGAGGCCUCUGAAGUCUCCCCUGGCUAGAAUAUUCUGGAAGCUGAAAGUUCCACUUGGAAUCCGCAAGUUCCUUCAGAGAGUUGGUGCUCAUUGAAACAUGCACUUUUGAGUAUGGGGCUCUACAAACCUUCUAAAAAAAAACCCAGGUCUGAGUGUUUCCAUAUCAUUUCCAAGCCUUCCUCUUAGUCUUCACUGUCAUGCAUCUUCGAGUUUCAGUGAUAGUGUACAGGGAAUUUUAAUUAGUCCUCGCCAAUUACAGAUACAGUCGAUGAUGUGAACAAAGUGGUUCACAUGAUACCAAUGUGUGAAUCGUCUGAGGUACGCUCUGUACGACAGUCUUUAGCCUAGCACAGAAUUCUCAGUAGGCUUCAUGAUUCUGCGACCUGGCCUGGACUUGUAGUUGCUUAUUGUGUUGUUUGCCAGCCCUUAGGCAAAGAUAAUUAUCCCUAAACCAUCCCAUAGGGUUAAGCUCAGCUCUGAAUAUUUCAAUAUUGGGAACUCUAUAGUUACCUUUAGCAGUUCCCGCUGCCUUGCUGUACUGUAAGUUUGGUUCCCUAAUUAGCCUGGUUUCUCCCUAAUGACCUGUAAGCCCCUUGCUAUUUGCCCCACUCUUAAUGUAUAAUAAAGAUAAUUGACCCUUUGCCCUCUGUCUGAUUUCAUAUAGGCAGUUUCUCAAAUGGUAUGCUUUAUGGCUUCAUUUGCUCUAAAUCUAUUUCUCUCCAAGUGUGGGGUUUUUUUUUUUCCUUCCUGGUUCAGGGUUUAACAUACACUUCCUUAAAGUUAAUGGAAAUUUCUACCAGCCACAUUUAUCCAAACUUCCACCUUGGUAUGGUUUCUUUCCUGGUUAUAGAAAAGGAAGAUUUUGGCCUCAGAAUAAAUUAUGAAUUAAACGUGCAUUAUGUGGGGGUUGGUUAUGUCUGAUCGGCACUGCCGACUAAGGAGCCAUGAAAGAAAUUACAGUGAACCGGGAAGAAAAAUGCCGGCUGAUAAGGAACCAGCCUGUUCGACUUCUCAAAGACAAAGACCAUUAUUCAUCUUUGUCCAUAUCCAUGGUAUCUUAAAAUGAUUUGGCACAUAAUCUUGCAACCAUGUUUGCUGAGGGAAUGAAUCUUAAUAGU